rnacentral:misc_RNA from 1 species
UUUUUUUAAUUUUUUAUUUAUUUUAUCCCUAUGAGUUUCUGGUUUAUGAUGGGAAGUGAUAACAUUUGACAUUUACCUAGUAGAUUAGGAGGAUUGGUUGACUGUCUUAGAUCUAAUCCUGGGUGCCAAUUCAAUAGUUGAUAGAGAGAAUGAGAGAGAAACCAUAUAAAGAUAAACAGUCCUUUUAUCUUAUCCCUCUAUAUACAUGGAGAAUAUUUGCAAAUCCUUAACCUUAUGGUAUGAGUAGACACUUGCAACUUGCAAGAGCCUGCUCUUCUGUUUUACUUCUUUUUAUUUUUGCCAUGGUUACUUUUAGCUUGCGAACUGCUGUCAUCUUUCAUUUAGGUGAAGAAAUAAACACCUUAUAUCCAUCUUAAGGUAUUUCUUUAUAAUGAAAAAUUUUCAUAAUUCUAUUUUUUGUUUGAACAGGUUUGUGCCAUCUUGAAGG